rnacentral:rRNA from 1 species
UCCCAGACUCCUACGGGAGGCAGCAGUGGGGAAUAUUGCACAAUGGGGGAAACCCUGAUGCAGCGACGCCGCGUGAGUGAAGAAGUAAUUCGUUAUGUAAAGCCCUGUCAGCAGGGAAGAAAAUGACGGUACCUGAAGAAGAAGCCCCGGCUAACUACGUGCCAGCAGCCGCGGUAAUACGUAGGGGGCAAGCGUUAUCCGGAUUUACUGGGUGUAAAGGGGGCGCAGACGGCGAUGCAAGCCAGGAGUGAAAGCCCGGGGCCCAACCCCGGGACUGCUCUUGGAACUGCGUGGCUGGAGUGCAGGAGGGGCAGGCGGAAUUCCUGGUGUAGCGGUGAAAUGCGUAGAUAUUAGGAGGAACACCAGUGGCGAAGGCGGCCUACUGGACGGUGACUGACGCUGAGGCUCGAAAGCGUGGGGAGCAAACAGGAUUAGAUACCCUAGUA